rnacentral:rRNA from 1 species
AUUGAACGCUGGCGGCAGGCCUAACACAUGCAAGUCGAGCGGAGCGUCGGACGGGUGAGUAAUACCUAGGAAUCUGCCUGGUAGCGGGGGAUAACGUUCGUAAACGGACGCUACUACCGCAUACUAUCAGAUGAGCCUAGGUCGGAUUAGCUAGUUGGUGAGGUAAUGGCUCACCAAGGCUACGAUCCGUAACUGGUCUGAGAGGAGGAUCAGUCACACUGGAACUGAGACAUGGUCCAGACUCCUACGAGAGGCCGCAGUGGGUAAUAUGGGACAGUAGGCGAGAGCCUGAGCCAGCCAUGCCGCGUGUGUGAAGAAGGUCUUGGGAUUGUAAAGCACUUUAAGUUGGGAGGCGUUAGCGACAGAAUAAGCACCGGCUAACUCUGUGCCAGCAGCCGCGGUAAUUC